GCCAGCGUGGUGUAGUGGUUUGAGUGUCAGACUACCACUCUGGAGACCAGGGUUCGAUUCCUGGCUCGGCCA
rnacentral:tRNA from 1 species